AUUGAACGCUGGCGGCAGGCCUAACACAUGCAAGUCGAGCGGAUGAAGGGAGCUUGCUCCUGGAUUCAGCGGCGGACGGGUGAGUAAUGCCUAGGAAUCUGCCUGGUAGUGGGGAUAACGUCCGGAAACGGGCGCUAAUACCGCAUACGUCCUGAGGGAGAAAGUGGGGGAUCUUCGGACCUCACGCUAUCAGAUGAGCCUAGGUCGGAUUAGCUAGUUGGUGGGGUAAAGGCCUACCAAGGCGACGAUCCGUAACUGGUCUGAGAGGAUGAUCAGUCACACUGGAACUGAGACACGGUCCAGACUCCUACGGGAGGCAGCAGUGGGGAAUAUUGGACAAUGGGCGAAAGCCUGAUCCAGCCAGGCCGCGUGUGUGAAGAAGGUCUUCGGAUUGUAAAGCACUUUAAGUUGGGAGGAAGGGCAGUAAGUUAAUACCUUGCUGUUUUGACGUUACCAACAGAAUAAGCACCGGCUAACUUCGUG
rnacentral:rRNA from 1 species